CUUUGCACAGCUCUGCGUGCCGCAGGACCUUAAGUAGCAAACAGAAAGGCGGGUUCGCCCAGCAAUUCCGCCCCCAGUGAAACCGAAAGGCAUCUACACCCGCGGUAUCUGGCGUGAAAAAGCGGGAAUAGUAUUGUGGCAGCUGGUGAUUGGUGUGUGACGCGAAAAGAUCAAUGUCAAAGGGGCCCCAGGCGGUGUUGAGCCUCUGAAAUUCCUUACGGUUCACCAUCCAGUCGUCCCGGUCCUGCAGCUUUGAGAGGUAGUCCGCCAGAGUGUUUUCUUCUCGCGGCCGCCACUCCGCCUGCAGUGUGAUACCCUCGGCAAUACAGUACCAAAAGAUUUCGCAGGCAAUCCGGUACGAGUCCUCGGCUUUUGCGGACCCCUUGUUGAGGACGUUGGCGCAAUUGAGAUUGUCAGUAAUCACCCGGACGACUUGGUGUCGUAGGCCUGCAGGACCGUUGAAGGAUUGAAGUGCGUGUAGGACUGCCUGGAGCUCCUGGGGCGUUGACCCCAUCGAACUGACCCUUACUCCCCAAUUACCGCGGGCUUGGGCCAACUUCCCGUCGAUCAGCGUCCAGGCACCCCAACCCCCGAGGUGCUUGGGGGAUUUCCCGGCUGCAUCGCAGAAAACGACCGAGUGCACCUGUGUGGGCUCCCAGAGGGCACGGGUUCCGUUAAACCGGUCGAAACAGCGCAGCCAGAAUUCGAGCUCUGCAGUUGCGUCGUUAGAUAAGCGGAUGUGGGUAUCCCAGGUGUGGCGCGACUCAAGAUCCUGCCCCAGAGCCCGGGUGUAAAGGCGGGCUACUUGCCCGAACGCCCAGGACAUGGACAGAAGCUGCCCUUUUAUGGAGGCCAAUUGUCUCGCCUUGAUGCGCCGUUUUCCCAGAGCCGAGCGGAUGCAGUCGAGCAGGAAAGUGCGCUUAUCUUCAGGCACAAUGUACACGCCCUUAGCUGUAUCUAACAGCAUACCCAGGUACCUCACUUGCUGCUGGGGCUCGCCCAUCAUUGACUUGUCACGGUUCACGCAGAACCCCAGGCGCUCAAGGAGGUCGAGGAUUAUGGUGCGGUGGGCGAUGAGGGUCUGGGCGUCCUGGUGGGCGUGGAUCUGAUCAUCAAUGUAUCCUGAGCACCGCCAGCCCUUCCGUCUCCAAGUCCGCAUGAUCUCGCGUGUUAGCUUGGUGAAUGCCCAACAGGCGGAGGCAAGGCCGAAAGGGAGUUGUGUAAAGACGUAGAACUGGCCUUGCCAUUCAAAACCAAGGUAGCGCCAGUCUGCUUCGCGUACGUCCAUAUGGUGGUAGCCAGACUUCAGGUCCAGGGUGAACAUGUAGUCCUUGGGGCCUAGCCAGCCUAGGACCUGCGCAAGCGACUCAUAACGGAACUCCGGGAUGUGCAGGUGCUUAUUGACUUCGCGUCCAUCCCAGAUGAGGCGGAGCUUGCCUUUCUGCUCUACGACGCCCAAAGGACAGGUCAUGAAAGGGCGGGACUGGCAAGGUUUGAUGGUCUCUGACUCCAGCAAACCCUCGAUGGCAGAAGACACAAAAUCCCCGUGGUCCCGUGCAGAUUGGUGAUUCUUGCCCCAGUACGGCCGGGGGGGAGGUCCUGAGUGCCACAUCAGAGGGAACCCUUGCAGGACCCAGCUCAGCACGAGCUGGUUCACCACUGUCACCUUCCAGACCGCGGCACAGGCUCUCAAGCGCCCCCGCAUCUUAGGCCUAUCCUUGCUACCCAUGCUAGGAGGUGUGGCUUCACAAGGCGGAUCAACAGGCAAAGGUGCUGGGUUCUCACCUUCUGGGACCGCUUGUUCAUUCCUCGAAGGGGCUCCUGGGUCUGGAUGUGGUUCCUGGGCUUGGCGGGCGACCUUGGUCCGGGGCCGGGUGGGCUCUGCAGGGCCGGGUGCGGGACGCUUGGCGGUGUUCUUGGUCUCCACUUGUGUGUUGUCUCGUUGGGCAGGGGGGGGCUGCGCGGGGCGAGGGGCUCUAAAACCCGCGGCGACGAGCAGUGUGCCCAGUACUGUGGCGGCCAAAUUCUCUGCAUUGCAAGAGACAAAAGAUAAAAGAGGGGGAGAUGAGUAGAGGCCGGGGCUCAUGGCGACUGAGGCUACGAAACGGUGGGAAGCCGCCCCUCCUGGGAUGACAGAAAAAACCGAACAGGAUACUCAGGGGCGACCUGCGCCGCAGGGGACGGGGCCACCAGAGCCAUCAACCUGUUUGAUGCCUCUCUGUCGUUGUUGGGUACAUGCAUGAAGAGGGAAACUCGGACGGAGGAAGGACAGGUCCAGCCUGAAGCCGGCCACCUGGGCCUGGAAGCCGCCAUGGUCAACAGGACCGAGCCAACACGGCCCUAAGGCACUGAUUGGGUGGGUAACCCAUGGGUUACCCAUCGGUUACCCACCUUCAACCCCCCGUAGCCCAUAGGUAACCCCCUUGUAAGUUCCUACCCAGCAGGAGGGGUAACACGGCCCCAGGGUAACCCCCUCCGUUGCCCUGGACUAUGGACAUGGGCCUAUAGGCUACUCAUCUUAUUUGCUGCGCACUUCGUGAAUUCAUUUUAGUACAUUUCUGUAAAUGUACAUGUUGAACCUACAGUAUCCCGGUAGCUCGGGAAGCAUCGUUCGCCAAUAUGAAUUAAAGGCCNNNNNNNNNNNNNNNNNNNNNNNNNNNNNNNNNNNNNNNNNNNNNNNNNNCGUACGUCCAUAUGGUGGUAGCCAGACUUCAGGUCCAGGGUGAACAUGUAGUCCUUGGGGCCUAGCCAGCCUAGGACCUGCGCAAGCGACUCAUAACGGAACUCCGGGAUGUGCAGGUGCUUAUUGACUUCGCGUCCAUCCCAGAUGAGGCGGAGCUUGCCUUUCUGCUCUACGACGCCCAAAGGACAGGUCAUGAAAGGGCGGGACUGGCAAGGUUUGAUGGUCUCUGACUCCAGCAAACCCUCGAUGGCAGAAGACACAAAAUCCCCGUGGUCCCGUGCAGAUUGGUGAUUCUUGCCCCAGUACGGCCGGGGGGGAGGUCCUGAGUGCCACAUCAGAGGGAACCCUUGCAGGACCCAGCUCAGCACGAGCUGGUUCACCACUGUCACCUUCCAGACCGCGGCACAGGCUCUCAAGCGCCCCCGCAUCUUAGGCCUAUCCUUGCUACCCAUGCUAGGAGGUGUGGCUUCACAAGGCGGAUCAACAGGCAAAGGUGCUGGGUUCUCACCUUCUGG
rnacentral:lncRNA from 1 species